UUGUUUCUAAUCUAAAUAAAAAGAAAAGAGGAAAAAAGAGUUGGUAGGGCAAGCAUAAGAUAAGGCUGAGCAUCCAUAACUAACAGCAAGUCUCAGUGUCAUGAUUUGGAAGCUGGUUGGUGUCACGCCCUCAAAAAAAAAAGCCUCCCACAGAUGGCCAGGAGCGUCAUUGUACCAUGCCUCAAAGCUUCACACUUCUGACAUCUAACCACCUACCCUUAGCCUUUGAGGCAUUUUGUGAGCUCAGUGGUGGUAGUCAGAGGCCGCGAAAGAACUUAGAAGAGGUGCAGCGAGGGAGGAAAUGGAGUGUGGGCUGGGCAGAGGCUGUGUGAGUAAGGUCUGCCCACACACAGAGGCAUAGGCAGCACCUCCUCUCACCAACCCUGGUAGUCUGAGAACUCGUGGGCCCACCUGGAGAAGACGACUGGGGUGGAUACGCUGGACAACGGCCACAUGGGCAGUCUACUGUGUGAGCAAGCAGCCAGCAGUGACGCCAGAGGUCUGACACUGCAGAGACUCACAGGGAAGACGGGCUUGACUGCGGGCAGCAGACCAGCCUCUGGUGACAAGCCGCAGUGUGACAGUGAGGAUUUCUAGAGAAGCCAGGAGAUGUGUGCCCCACUCAGGAUGGGGCGGAGGUGAUGUUCCCAAAGCCCACUUUCCACCAAAUUCAGUGACCUUUGAGCUCUCCAAGUCUUAUCCUGGCACAAGUGGUAGCUGUGGAGCCAGGGGAGUUUAGAGCCCCGUGAACCAAGCAGGAAGCUCACAGAAACAGGAAACACAAAUACUACUUCCUGGGAAGCUAAGACACGGAGAGGUAUCUGAAUCCAACCACUUCAGUGUGAAUGUCAGCUCUGCCCCUUGACUUCUGUGAGACCUUUGACAAGUCAUGAACUAUUACUAUCCUAUAAAAUGGAGACAAAUAGCAGCUCCCA